UUCCAAUUCGUUAUAUUAUAAAUUCGUCCGUUUGUUUAUAUUCGCAUAAAUUAUAUAUUAUUGCUGCCGCAGGCAGCUUCCUAUUCUUGUGAUUUGUUCCCAGACCUCUUUACCGAGCUAUAUGAAUGCGACAAUGAUUUGGAUUUAGCAAUGUUUGGAUGUUCAGUUUUAUGACGUUUUGUGACGUAGAAGAUUCGACGGGUCUUUUACGGAAGCUACCGGCUGCUCUUCGGGACUUGCCAAGAUUUAGCACGAGGGGGGUGUAUUUUAUACAAGUUGGCAAGACUGUAUUUAGCGAAUAUUGCGAUUUUUAAGUCAUUUAUUUAAGGUAAGAUCAAAGCAUUAUCUACGAUCCUUUUAGUUUACAGUAAGAAGAAUUUUUACGAUUUGUUCUUCUCUUUAUAUAGGCCCGCGUUUGAUAUUUAUAUAAACCUGUGGCUGUGUAUAUUUGGUGUUGGGAAUCAUUGUAUUCACGCUGAUCAAUAUAUCGAUCAGACACUUUGCGUGUUGGUCACGGUGUGGCAACAGGCAACUCAAAUAAAAUUCACAUCAAUUCUAAACAAACAAACGGAAACAAACGAGAGCCAUUGUGUUCUUUACCAUCGAAACAAACGAGAGCCAUUGUGUUCUUUACCAUCAAACGUACAAUAUAAAUAGCAAAGCAUUGUCGCUGAAACACAAACGAAGGUUCACGUGACUCAGAGCUACAGUAUAAAAACUGCAAAUUUUACAUACUUCUAUUGCCGAUAGAGCAAGUCGCAAGUCGCAGUGAUAGAAUAUAAAGUAUCCGUACAG
rnacentral:lncRNA from 1 species